rnacentral:rRNA from 1 species
UACGGAGGGGGCAAGCGUUGUCCGGUUUUAUUGGGUUUAAAGGGUGCGUAGGCGGCCCCUUAAGUCAGCGGUGAAAGCCCGGGGCUCAAACCCGGAACCGCCGUUGAUACUGGGGGGCUUGAGUACAGACGAGGUAGGCGGAAUUGAGGGUGUAGCGGUGAAAUGCUUAGAUACCCUCAAGAACACCGAUUGCGUAGGCAGCUUACUAGGCUGUAACUGACGCUGAGGCACGAAAGCGUGGGGAGCGAACAGG